rnacentral:rRNA from 1 species
CAGCCGCCGCGGUAACACGUAGGGUGCAAGCGUUAAUCGGAAUUACUGGGCGUAAAGCGUGCGCAGGCGGUUAUAUAAGUCAGAUGUGAAAUCCCCGGGCUCAACCUGGGAACUGCAUUUGAGACUGUAUGGCUAGAGUGUGUCAGAGGGGGGUAGAAUUCCACGUGUAGCAGUGAAAUGCGUAGAUAUGUGGAGGAAUACCGAUGGCGAAGGCAGCCCCCUGGGAUAACACUGACGCUCAUGCACGAAAGCGUGAGGAGCAAACAGGAUUAGAUACCCGCGUAGUCCCUGUCUCUUAUAC